GGGAGGUGUGAGAAAGUUAUGCAGCUUUGUGCCGUGUUGCUAUAACUGGUUAUAACCUCCGAUAUUAAUGUGACUCGCUCGGGUGCUGCAGCGACUCCUGUUUUCCUGCAGCGAGCCUGUGCAGUGCUCGUGUACACACA